rnacentral:rRNA from 1 species
GAUGAACGCUGGCGGCGUGCCUAAUACAUGCAAGUCGAGCGAACGGACGAGAAGCUUGCUUUUCUGAUGUUAGCGGCGGACGGGUGAGUAACACGUGUAUAACCUACCUAUAAGACUGGGAUAACUUCGGGAAACCGGAGCUAAUACCGGAUAAUAUUUUGAACCGCAUGGUUCAAAAGUGAAAGACGGUCUUUCUGUCACUUAUAGAUGGAUCCGCGCUGCAUUAGCUAGUUGGUAAGGUAACGGCUUACCAAGGCAACGAUGCAUAGCCGACCUGAGAGGGUGAUCGGCCACACUGGAACUGAGACACGGUCCAGACUCCUACGGGAGGCAGCAGUAGGGAAUCUUCCGCAAUGGGCGAAAGCCUGACGGAGCAACGCCGCGUGAGUGAUGAAGGUCUUCGGAUCGUAAAACUCUGUUAUUAGGGAAGAACAUAUGUGUAAGUAACUGUGCACAUCUUGACGGUACCUAAUCAGAAAGCCACGGCUAACUACGUG